rnacentral:rRNA from 1 species
UGGGGAAUAUUGGACAAUGGGCGAAAGCCUGAUCCAGCCAUGCCGCGUGUGUGAAGAAGGUCUUCGGAUUUUAAAGCACUUUAAGUUGGGAGGAAGGGCAGUAAGCGAAUACCUUGCUGUUUUGACGUUACCGACAGAAUAAGCACCGGCUAACUCUGUGCCAGCAGCCGCGGUAAUACAGAGGGUGCAAGCGUUAAUCGGAAUUACUGGGCGUAAAGCGCGCGUAGGUGGUUCGUUAAGUUGAAUGUGAAAGCCCCGGGCUCAACCUGGGAACUGCAUGCAAAACUGGCGAGCUAGAGUAGGGCAGAAGGUGGUGGAAUUUCCUGUGUAGCGGUGAAAUGCGUAGAUAUAGGAAGGAACACCAGUGGCGAAGGCGACCACCUGGGCUCAUACUGACACUGAGGUGCGAAAGCGUGGGGAGCAAACAGG